GACGAAGGGGGCUAGCGUUGUUCGGAAUUACUGGGCGUAAAGCGUGUGUAGGUGGUUAUCCAAGUUGGAUGUGAAAGCCUUGAGCUUAACUCAAGAAAUGCAUUCAGGACUGGGUGACUAGAGGACCGGAGAGGAUAGUGGAAUUCCCAGUGUAGUGGUGAAAUACGUAUAGAUUGGGAUGAACACCAGUGGCGAAGGCGGCUAUCUGGACGGUUUCUGACACUAAGUCACGAAAGCGUGGUCAGCAAACAGG
rnacentral:rRNA from 1 species